ensembl:lncRNA
AAACGAGCUAAAAUUCUUACAUUGCAAAAUGGUUCAUCUCGUAUAGUACUGCAGCGCAAAUAGCUUCCCUUACCAUUAUUUAUCAUCUGAAGGACUCAUUAGAAGUGAAGAACAUAAAUGAACAGUAACACAUAAAACACAAGGCCUGUCUCUACAGCUGAUGGUGAAAGACCUGAAUCCAGAAUGUGCAAAAUUAGAUUUCAUGUGACUAAUUUUCAUCAAACAUAUUCUUUAUUUCAUUUUCAGCUGUCAUGUCUGUCAGGUCUCUGGGUCGUUGACCCCAAGUUUUGAAUUUUGGAGGUUUUGGGGGUUUGUUCUCAUUCUUUUUCCAUAUCUUUGUAUUUUAAUUCAGCACGUUUUUUUCUAUAACUGAGUGCUUUCUAUUUAACAUUCAUACACUGGAAAGUAACUUGUGGUUUAGUGUCUUGCCCAAGAAUGCUUUGGCAUGCAGACUGUAGCAGCCAGGGAACCACCGACCUUCCUCUACCUCCUGACUUACAUCCACCCCAUUCAGGCAUUUAAGACAUAUUUGCAUCUUUUAAAAGUUCUCAUCCCACAUAAUCUGUAGAGGUGCCAAAAUUACAGUGAUUCUUAAAAAUAUUGUGUAUACAUGAAUGAUAAUGUUGUAAAACAGUUCUUUUUGUUUUCUUUGUUUCUAAUAUAUCAACAGCUCUAAGCUCCACUAAAAGUUAACAUGUAUAAAUUUUAACUCUCAAAAUCCAAUAAAUUGCUGCGUUGUUGUUGUGCUCCUGUCUUCCUUCUCUCUUUCCAACUGGUCACAGCAGAUGGCCGCCCCUCCCUGAGCCUGUUUCUGUCGGAGGUUUCUUCCUGUUAAAGGGGGCUUUUUUCCUUCCUGCAGUCGCCAAAGUGCUUGCUCAUAGGGGGUCAUGUGAUUGUUGGGUUUUUCUCUGUAUGUAUUACUGUAGGGUCUAUCUUACAAUAUGAAGCACAUUGAAGCCACUGUUGUUGUGAUUUGGUGCUGAAUAAAUAAAAUUGAAUUGAAUUAUAAUCUGAAAGGAAUGAGAACAAGAUGGAUGGAUAGAUAGAUGUUUUCUAAGUUUUAUACUUCAUGUAGUUGUGUCACACAGCUUGGGUGAAAGUCUUUCUAACUUUAGCUUCAGUGCAAUAAUUGUAUGUCUGUUGUGGUGAAGUAUAAAAAUAUCUUACUUUUCAGGUACAUGCGGGUAAAUGUGGUUACCAUGGGCAGCAGAGGGAGCAGAAUCCAGCGAAUGAAACUCCAGAUAUAUGAAGCAGUGGCUGCAGGGGGUUCCAGAAAAAGCAUGUGUUGUGGAUGUAGCCUUCAGCCAGCUUGAUGAUGGUGCCAUUUCUGUUUAGCAAACCACACCAGUACACUCCUUGUUUGUGGUUUGGCUCCAACACUUCCACAGUGAAGGAGCUCACAUCCUGGGUCACCUUUAGUUUGCCUCCAUCCACCAAGUGUUCACUGUGACUGAAGGUGAGGCCGGUGCAGCACUCGGCAGAGUUCUGCUGACACCAAACCCUCGGAAGGCUCUUGUACUUCACUUCAUAAGGACAUGUCAGCUUCUGCCAAAACAAUGCCUCACAGGUACCUGCACAGUGACAUUGUUUAGGUGUGGAAAUAAUUUUUAAAUGCUCCUGAUCAGUAGUUCUCCAGGCUUUCUGGGGGUCUACUAAAGUUUUCCUCUUGAUGUUGGUUGUUUUUCACUCAUUUUCAUUCCAGUACUUGUAGAUAUUUAUUUGAAUAGGAAUGUUUUGUUUUUGUUUUUGUUAAGCCAUACAGUUUCAUACUGACCUGUUAAUACUCCUGUACUAAUAUAUAUUAGUAAUAACCAGUACUAAGUAAUACAAUACCAAUACUCUAAAAGCCCACAUGAACAGAGUACAAGACAAAGUACAAGUUGAUAGUUUAUGUUUUAUUCUUUCUCACUGUUUUUAAAUAAUAAUAUCACUGAAUGUAAUUAUGCCAAAGAAAAUGUGUACCUCGAAAUGAUAGAAGAUAAUUUUCCUUCAUGAUAUACCGAAUGGCACUGAUGCCAUAUUAAAACCCGUUUUGGACUAGAUAGUUUAAUCUACUUCCGUUAGUGGCCCAGUCAGGCACUACAAUGAUCUACAAAAACAAAUAUUUAAACUCUAAGAUAUGAGUUCAAGUCCUCUGUAAUCAUGACGUGUACGCUUACCUGUUGCCAAAAGAAAUACUGAAAUCAGAAUAUGCAUGAUCCAAACACCGAAUCUGGUUAUAC